GCGCCUUUUGGGUGUUUUUGGUGGGGGAUGGGCUCGCGGCCUAUCAGCUUGUUGGUGGGGUGAUGGCCUACCAAGGCGGUGACGGGUAGCCGGCCUGAGAGGGUGGACGGUCACACUGGGACUGAGACACGGCCCAGACUCCUACGGGAGGCAGCAGUGGGGAAUAUUGCACAAUGGGCGCAAGCCUGAUGCAGCGAUCGCCGCGUGGAGGAGUGGGACGGUCCGUUUCGGGUUUGUACGAACCUUCUUUCCGCCAGUAGAAGCGACGGCCUGUCCCUUUUGUGGGUGGGUUGACGGUAGCUGGAUAAGAAGCGCCGGCUAACUAC
rnacentral:rRNA from 1 species